GAUAAGUGAUCGAUACUGAUGCCAAAAAUGCAAUCAGUAAAAUUUUUGUCUGUCUGUCUGUCUGUCUGUCUGUCUGUCUGUCUGUCUGUAUGUUCCUUAUAGAAACAAAAACUACUGGACGGAUUUUAAUGAAACUUGGUACAAUUAUUCUUCACACUCCUGGACAGGUCAUAGUAUACUUUUCAUCACGCUACAAUCAAUAGGAGCAGAGUAGUGAAGGGAAAUCCUUUUGUAUGAAAAAUCUAAACCACUCAAGUUAGACGUUUGAAAUUUGGCAUGCAGAUACCUUAGAUACCGUAGAGGUGUACUAAGAAAGGAAUUCCCGAAAUUCCCACGGGAACGGGAAUUAGCGGGAAAAUCCUUUUGUAUGAAAAAUCUAAACCACUCAAGUUAGACGUUUGAAAUUUGGCAUGCAGAUACCUUAGAUACCGUAGAGGUGUACUAAGAAAGGAAUUCCCGAAAUUCCCACGGGAACGGGAAUUAGCGGGAAAAUCCU